rnacentral:rRNA from 2 species
UAGGGAAUCUUCCACAAUGGACGCAAGUCUGAUGGAGCAACGCCGCGUGAGUGAAGAAGGUUUUCGGAUCGUAAAGCUCUGUUGUUGGUGAAGAAGGAUAGAGGCAGUAACUGGUCUUUAUUUGACGGUAAUCAACCAGAAAGUCACGGCUAACUACGUGCCAGCAGCCGCGGUAAUACGUAGGUGGCAAGCGUUGUCCGGAUUUAUUGGGCGUAAAGCGAGCGCAGGCGGAAUGAUAAGUCUGAUGUGAAAGCCCACGGCUCAACCGUGGAACUGCAUCGGAAACUGUCAUUCUUGAGUGCAGAAGAGGAUAGUGGAAUUCCAUGUGUAGCGGUGGAAUGCGUAGAUAUAUGGAAGAACACCAGUGGCGAAGGCGGCUCUCUGGUCUGCAACUGACGCUGAGGCUCGAAAGCAUGGGUAGCGAACAGG